rnacentral:lncRNA from 1 species
CCUUGUACUCUUUAUUGCCUCUGAUCACUCCUUUCCCUUCCUCCAGCAGCUCCCGAAACAGGUCCACAGGGCCAGAACCUGGGGCUCCCGCCUCUGCUGCUUCAAGCUCAGGCAGUGAGUUCUGAUGUCUGGCUUUCUUCCGUAGGAAUUCUGUACGGGCCUGGGGAGAAAGUUAUAGGCAGGACAUUCAGAACCUAGAGGUAAUUCAAGAACUGUGAGUCUGGUGCCCACCACAGAAAAUGGCAGUCCAGGGUGCUGGGGUUAUGAGAAAGGGAGCACUAGGCGCCUAAAAGAGGCACCUGUCCUAGCUGGGGGUGAGGGUAGGCAGAUGAGGCAACGCCUGGGUUUUGUAAACUCCCUUUCAAAUAGUAAACCACGGGUCAUCAAGGAUGUAUGGGAGGAGGUCCCUGGCCUAAACCAAAGGGGUUCCUAACCUCAAGUGAGACAAUUAAAACAGCCAUAAAGGUAUGCAUUAGGCCAGACGAUCUGAAUUCUAGCCAUGGCUCCAAGUGACUACCCCAAGUCUGCUGAAGCCCUGUCCCCUGCCUUCAGGACGCGGAUUUCAAACAGCGCUCAGCAGCCUACUGAGAUUCUAAAAACCUAGACUACCUCCCACCCACGGCGGAGGAUCAGACUAGCUAAGGAAAUGAAAGUUGGGUGUACACCAAACAGAUUUAAAGAGCCAUACGGAAAGCCCGUGUUUGUGUGUAUGUGUCUAGGGGGCGGUGCACGAAAGGGCUCGCCCGAUGGCGUGGAGCCUGGCUGUCCGCCUCUCCUUAAAAUGUGCCUUCCCCUCACUGAAGCCAUCUCACUUCGUGCAACAGAGAUGACAGUGCCCCUCUAAGAACGAACAGUGCUUAUUGGGGAUUCCGCAAGUCAGGUGCACGGCAUGUAGUUAGCAUACAGUAGAUGCUCAAUAAAUAGGCUGUGCAGGCAAACUAAAAAGUGAUCCGAAUUUCCUUGAACUGUCCAAGGGUUCACGGAUUCAUUAAAUGUUAAGCUUCUCUUUUGUGCUAGACACUGUUCCAGCCAUGUGAAAUACAUCAGUGGGGGAAAAACUAAGACGAGGGCGAGAUCAAGGAAGGUUUCGUGGAAGUGGGCACAAGGUUUGCGGGGCAACGUCCUCGAAAGUGGGAUCGGCGCCUGGUCCCGAAUUUCACACGGGGCACAUUGAGCCUGCGCAACGCCUCCGCUUCCGGCCCCCAACCGCGGCGCCUGCGCGCUGGGCCCCGGAGCGCCGCC